GGGGGUAUAGCUCAGGGGUAGAGCAUUUGACUGCAGAUCAAGAGUUCAAAUCAGUUCUCAGUUCAAAUCUGGGUACCCCUU
rnacentral:tRNA from 2 species